GACGAACGCUGGCGGCGUGCCUAACACAUGCAAGUCAACUUGACUGAAGGAGCAAUCUGACAGUAGAGUGGCGCAAGGGUGCGUAACGCGUAAGUAACUUGCCCCAAGGUAAGGAAUAACGUCGAGAAAUCGGCGCUAAUACCUCAUAAUGCAGCGGAUCCGCAUGGAUAUGUUGUUAAAGGGUUUACCGCCUUGCGAUAGGCUUGCGUCUGAUUAGCUAGUUGGUGUGGUAACGGCACACCAAGGCUACGAUCAGUAACUGGUCUGAGAGGAUGAUCAGUCACACUGGAACUGAGACACGGUCCAGACUCCUACGGGAGGCAGCAGUGAGGAAUAUUGGGCAAUGCUCGAAAGAGUGACCCAGCAACGCCGCGUGGAGGAUGAAGGUAUUCUAUAUCGUAAACUCCUGUGAGAGCAGACGAAAGACAGAUUAUAAUCUGGAUGACUGUAUGCUCAGAGGGAG
rnacentral:rRNA from 1 species